rnacentral:rRNA from 1 species
UCUGAUAUAACAAGCAAAAAAUUAAAACUUUCAACAACGGAUCUCUUGGUUCUGGCAUCGAUGAAGAACGCAGCGAAAUGCGAUAAGUAGUGUGAAUUGCAGAAUUCAGUGAAUCAUCGAAUCUUUGAACGCACAUUGCGCCCUUUGGUAUUCCUUAGGGCAUGCCUGUUCGAGCGUCAUUUAAACCUUCAAGCUCAGCUUGGUGAUGGGUGACUGUCCUCUCCUCGCGUUAGGACUCGCCCCAAAUACAUUGGCGGCCGGUACAUUGGCUUCGAGCGCAGCAGAAACGCGGUCUCGAGUCCGGUGGACUUGCUCCCAUAAGCAUCUUUUUAUUUUGACCUCGGAUCAGGUAGGGAUACCCGCUGAACUUAAGCAUAUCAAUAAGCGGAGGAAAAGAAACCAACAGGGAUUGCCCUAGUAACGGCGAGUGAAGCGGCAAUAGCUCAAAUUUGAAAUCUGGCCCUUUCAGGGUCCGAGUUGUAAUUUGUAGAGGGUGCUUUGGCGUUGGCUGUGGUCUAAGUUCCUUGGAACAGGACGUCGCAGAGGGUGAGAAUCCCGUAUGUGGCCGCCAGUCUUCGCCGUGUAAAGCCCCUUCGACGAGUCGAGUUGUUUGGGAAUGCAGCUCUAAAUGGGAGGUAAAUUUCUUCUAAAGCUAAAUAUUGGCCAGAGACCGAUAGCGCACAAGUAGAGUGAUCGAAAGAUGAAAAGCACUUUGGAAAGAGAGUCAAAAAGCACGUGAAAUUGUUGAAAGGGAAGCGCUUGCAGCCAGACUUGCCUGUAGUUGCUCAUCCGGGCUUUUGCCCGGUGCACUCUUCUAUGGGCAGGCCAGCAUC